UCCAGACUCCUACGGGAGGCAGCAGUGGGGGAUAUUGCACAAUGGGGGGAACCCUGAUGCAGCGACGCCGCGUGGGUGAAGGAGCGUUUCGGCGCGUAAAGCCCUAUCGGCAGGGAAGAAGGAGGACGGUACCUGACUAAGAAGCCCCGGCUAACUACGUGCCAGCAGCCGCGGUAAUACGUAGGGGGCAAGCGUUAUCCGGAUUUACUGGGUGUAAAGGGGGCGCAGACGGCAGCGCAAGCCAGGAGUGAAAGCCCGGGGCCCAACCCCGGGAUUGCUCUUGGAACUGCGCGGCUGGAGUGCAGGAGGGGCAGGCGGAAUUCCUGGUGUAGCGGUGAAAUGCGUAGAUAUCAGGAGGAACACCGGUGGCGAAGGCGGCCUGCUGGACUGCGACUGACGUUGAGGCCCGAAAGCGUGGGGAGCAAACAGGAUUAGAUACCCCUGUACA
rnacentral:rRNA from 1 species